UACAGAGGUCUCAACCGUUGUUCGGAUUCAUUGGGCGUAAAGGGUGCGUAGGCGGUCGUGCAAGUCGGAUGUGAAAUCUCAGGGCUCAACCCUGAAACUGCAUUCGAUACUGCGUGGCUAGAGUGCUGGAGAGGAGACUGGAAUUUACGGUGUAGCAGUGAAAUGCGUAGAUAUCAGGAGGAACACCGGUGGCGAAGGCGGUUCUCUGGGCAUUACCUGACGCUGAGGAGCGAAGUG
rnacentral:rRNA from 1 species